AUGGCCCGUGGAAAAAUGCCGCACGCGUUUGCACCACGGGGAACUGGCGGGGAUCCCGGCGGGGAUCGAGGUUUCCAAACGAGGCCUUAAUCGGUGCAAACCGCCAUUGUUGAGGCAUCGUCGCGAUCUCACCCAUGCCCCUUUCCAUCGAAAGGAAACCGGCCACGAAGACACUGCAACAGCAAGCCUCCUAGGAGACAGGCAGCCACAGUUGCACCACCAGCCCAUCCGUUGAGGUCGUCCUCUCCGCCCACCACCGGUUGAGGUCGUCCUCUCCGCCCACCACCGGUUGAGGUCGAUGCCGCGCCGCCUCGAUCUUCACCACCGUUGUCCGGUGGCUUUUCUGCAGCCGUCUUAGCCUACAUUCGGUCCUCCUCUGCUCAGAUAUACCCUGUCGCUGUUCAACGAUUUUGCAGCUUUGGAGUACUCAUUCAGCAGUAAUAGCAUGCCCACCAAGUGUUUGUCGAAAUGACAAACCUCCCAAACUGGACGUGCUAUAUGUAUUACAGUACUAAUGGUGGCUCUACCUGCUGCAGCCUUCGAACACUAAACCAGCAUGGGCACUUAUCAUCUUCUGAAAUGUUUUAUUAGUGCUAUAGAUGCAGAUGCCGUGCCUUCAUAGAUUCAGUGGCUCAGUGCCUUCUUGGAGCUCCACUACGUACAUGUAUUGCAUUCAAGAAUUUCACUGUUCUGUAGGCUAGGAUCCUUUCCUUGUCAAACCAAUGUCGAUUAAAGCAUAUUUUGCUAUAUCUGGUAGUCAAAAGACAGAUAAACCGGUUGUUUCAUGAACAUUGUCUAUAAUCUUGCUGUAUUAUCACAGGAUAAGAAAAAGGUGAGGUGUCAGUAAAACAUGGAUGUGCUUGGGCAGUGGCAGUAAUAUGACAUUGAUAUGUGCUUUGGUUGCAAUGAGUUCUCUGAAGUGAAAAAACAUGAGUGGAUCCUAAUACGAAAGGAGUGAUUUGGUACGCAAACAGAAGUUGUUCGAUCUAGAGUUGGUGGCAGGGCACAAAGCACCUAUAGAAAUUUUCUUUUCACCUUUAUUUCGUCAUUGUAGUAUUUAUCAGUUAUCACAUUCUACUCUCAUAAACACUCUCUAAGGCACA